GCCUACGGGGGCAGCAGUGGGGAAUAUUGCGCAAUGGGCGAAAGCCUGACGCAGCGACGCCGCGUGAGGGAUGAAGGUCUUCGGAUCGUAAACCUCUAUCAGCAGGGAAGAACGGUCACUGUGCUAAUCAGCAGUGAAUUGACGGUACCUGCAAAGGAAGCACCGGCUAACUCCGUGCCAGCAGCCGCGGUAAUACGGAGGGUGCGAGCGUUAAUCGGAAUUACUGGGCGUAAAGCGCUCGUAGGCGGUAUGUCAAGUCGAGGGUGAAAUCCCCGCGCUCAACGUGGGAACUGCCUUUGAAACUG
rnacentral:rRNA from 1 species